CCUACGGGAGGCAGCAGUGGGGAAUAUUGGACAAUGGGGGCAACCCUGAUCCAGCCAUGCCGCAUGUGUGAAGAAGGCCCUCGGGUUGUAAAGCACUUUCAGUGAGGAAGAACGCCUGGUGGUUAAUACCCAUCAGGAAAGACAUCACUCACAGAAGAAGCACCGGCUAACUCCGUGCCAGCAGCCGCGGUAAUACGGAGGGUGCGAGCGUUAAUCGGAAUUACUGGGCGUAAAGCGCGCGUAGGUGGCUUGAUAAGCCGGUUGUGAAAGCCCCGGGCUCAACCUGGGAACGGCAUCCGGAACUGUCAAGCUAGAGUGCAGGAGAGGAAGGUAGAAUUCCCGGUGUAGCGGUGAAAUGCGUAGAGAUCGGGAGGAAUACCAGUGGCGAAGGCGGCCUUCUGGACUGACACUGACACUGAGGUGCGAAAGCGUGGGUAGCAAACAGGAUUAGAUACCCCAGUAGUC
rnacentral:rRNA from 1 species